AAAAGAUUAGGUGUGCCUUCUCGUCGGAACACAUCAAGUGUGCCGCAUAAUGUCACCAAACAAGUUAUAGAGAAUCUAUUACCUGAUCUUCCCGAGACUGUUGGGUACAGAUCUUUAACAUCCAUUCUUCGAAGAAAAGUUUACGCCGUCCAAAGGGAUGUUGUCAUGAAAUUACUAAGGAAAUUGGACCCCGAAGGCACUAAAAUCAGAAGGAGGAGGUGAAUCCUGAGA